rnacentral:rRNA from 1 species
UCAGAUUGAACGCUGGCGGCAGGCCUAACACAUGCAAGUCGAACGGUAACAGGAUUAGCUUGCUAAUCGCUGACGAGUGGCGGACGGGUGAGUAAUGCUUGGGAACUUGCCUUUGCGAGGGGGAUAACAGUUGGAAACGACUGCUAAUACCGCAUAAUGUCUACGGACCAAACGGGGCUUCGGCUCCGGCGCAAAGAGAGGCCCAAGUGAGAUUAGCUAGUUGGUAAGGUAAAGG